rnacentral:rRNA from 1 species
GGCGAGUGGCGAACGGGUGAGUAAUACAUCGGAACGUACCUUAUCGUGGGGGAUAACGCAGCGAAAGUUGCGCUAAUACCGCAUACGCCCUGAGGGGGAAAGCGGGGGACCGUAAGGCCUCGCGCGAUUAGAGCGGCCGAUGUCUGAUUAGCUUGUUGGUGAGGUAAAAGCUCACCAAGGCGAUGAUCAGUAGCUGGUCUGAGAGGACGAUCAGCCACACUGGGACUGAGACACGGCCCAGACUCCUACGGGAGGCAGCAGUGGGGAAUUUUGGACAAUGGGGGCAACCCUGAUCCAGCAAUGCCGCGUGAGUGAAGAAGGCCUUCGGGUUGUAAAGCUCUUUUGUCAGGGAAGAAACAGCAGCUCUAACACAGACUGCGAAUGACGGUACCUGAAGAAUAAGCACCGGCUAACUACGUGCCAGCAGCCGCGGUAAUACGUAGGGUGCGAGCGUUAAUCGGAAUUACUGGGCGUAAAGCGUGCGCAGGCGGUUAUACAAGACAGGCGUGAAAUCCCCGGGCUUAACCUGGGAAUGGCGUCUGUGACUGUAUAGCUAGAGUGUGUCAGAGGGGGGUGGAAUUCCACGUGUAGCAGUGAAAUGCGUAGAUAUGUGGAGGAACACCAAUGGCGAAGGCAGCCCCC